GUCACUAUGGUGUAGUGGUUUGAGCAUUGGACUAUGGCUGCAGAGCAGGGUUCGAAUCCUGUUGGGUGACC